rnacentral:rRNA from 1 species
CCCAGACUCCUACGGGAGGCAGCAGUGGGGGAUAUUGCACAAUGGGGGGAACCCUGAUGCAGCGACGCCGCGUGGGUGAAGGAGCGUUUCGGCGCGUAAAGCCCUCUCGGCAGGGAAGAAGGAGGACGGUACCUGACUAAGAAGCCCCGGCUAACUACGUGCCAGCAGCCGCGGUAAUACGUAGGGGGCAAGCGUUAUCCGGAUUUACUGGGUGUAAAGGGGGCGCAGACGGCAGCGCAAGCCAGGAGUGAAAGCCCGGGGCCCAACCCCGGGACUGCUCUUGGAACUGCGCGGCUGGAGUGCAGGAGGGGCAGGCGGAAUUCCUGGUGUAGCGGUGAAAUGCGUAGAUAUCAGGAGGAACACCGGUGGCGAAGGCGGCCUGCUGGACAGCAACUGACGCUGAGGCGCGAAAGCGUGGGGAGCAAACAGGAUUAGAUACCCCCGUAU